rnacentral:rRNA from 1 species
AACGAACGCUGGCGGCAGGCUUAACACAUGCAAGUCGAGCGGGCCCUUCGGGGUCAGCGGCGGACGGGUUAGUAACGCGUGGGAACGUGCCCUUUGCUUCGGAAUAGCCCUGGGAAACUGGGGGUAAUACCGGAUGUGCCCUGAGGGGGAAAGAUUUAUCGGCAAGGGAUCGGCCCGCGUCUGAUUAGGUAGUUGGUGAGGUAACGGCUCACCAAGCCGACGAUCGGUAGCUGGUUUGAGAGGAUGAUCAGCAACACUGGGACUGAGACACGGACCAGACUCCUACGGGAGGCAGCAGUGGGGAAUCUUAGACAAUGGGCGCAAGCCUGAUCUAGCCAUGCCGCGUGGGUGAUGAAGGCCUUAGGGUCGUAAAGCCCUUUCGCCGGGGAAGGUAAUGACGGUACCCGGUAAAGAAACCCCGGCUAACUCCGUGCCAGCCGCCGCCGUAACAC